rnacentral:tRNA from 1 species
GCUCCCGUCGUCCAACGGUGCACGACGCCGGCCUUUCACGUCGGAGAUCGGGGUUCGACUCCCCGCGGGAGCACCA